CCGGGCGCUGCAUCGGCACCACGACCUUGUUUAAUCCUCUCACCGCUCCGAGAGGUAAGUGCUGAUAUUUACAGUUUAUAAGGAGAAACACCAAGGCCCAGAGAGUCGGGCUGCGGGGCUCAGAGCCCAGUCCUCCAGGGCCAAUUCUGCCCUGGGGCACCAGGGCGGACUUCCAGGCCACAAAAAGGUAGCAGAGUCUCCGCCAUCUGCCAUCUGGAAACUCAGCCAGGCCUGGCCCGAGUUGGAGCUCCUUGACACAAACAUGUCCUCAGUGCCCUUUACCAAUUUUGGAGAGAGUUUAAGGCAUAAGGAACAGAUACAGAGCAUCCUUCCAACUCAAAUGGGCAAAAGCAUGCAGGCUUCAGGCAUAGCUAGAUCCAGGUGCUCAUAUGCUAUUCUCCCACUCAGUUAUCUUUCCUUCUUACUUCUUCCUUCUGGGUAACACUGCCUCUCUGGGGCAUAAAGAAUGGUGACAGGAAGUGCCAAGUCUCAUCCCUAGGCUUGGAAGACAAGGCUGGAUUACCAACCUCUAGGUCCCAGGGGAAGGAGCAGAAACAAGGUCCCAUGGAGCAAAAGGGUCUGGAAGCCCAAACCAGCACUGGCUGGAAAGGCUGUCAGAGGGCCCCUGUUGAAGUUUCUAAUGUGCUUUUUUUUUGGGGGGGGGUUACCAGGGAUUAAACUCAGGGGCCUUGACCGCGGAGCCCCGUCCCCAGCCCUAUUCUGUAUGAGACAGCGUCUCCCUGAGCUGCUUAGGGCCUCACUGUUGCUGAGGCUGGCUUUGAACUCACGAUCCUCCUGCCUCAGCCUCCCGAGCCCCUGGGGUGACAGGCAUGCGCCACCGUGCCCUAAUGUGCUUCUCACCCUGCUUUCCCUGGGACAGCUCUGGCCUGGACUGCCCCCGGCAUCCAUCAGUCUAGGGGAGGUUAGAAUCUAUUACGGAAAAUGUAAAAGGUAAGACAGGCUGCGUCCUGCUCCUGGACUCAAACCAGAUGACGCAGCAGGACAGAGUCUUGGGGGUGGCUCAGUCCCCCGCCUUGAGCGCAUCCCGCCAUCGCGCUGGACGGCUGGGAGGGCAGUCUCCCCGGGGCCAGAGGGUCCCUGCUGCUCCAGAGCCGCGGGGCCAACUCUCCGGUGAGGAGAAGACAAGAGGCGGGGGACGGAGGAGAAAUGCCGGAGCCCCUGACCAGGCUGCUGGGGAGACGGGGGAGUGUCGGGGAAGGGCUGCUCCUAGGGCGAUGCUCGACGGGCGGCUCCCCGCUGCCUCCAGGGGCUGUGAGAGCCAAAGUCUUAUUUUCCCAGACUCCCUCUAAAAUAGCAUUUUUACCCACCAGAGAUCUUGGUUGCCAGCAAAGUCCACCAACUCAAAUGCAUUUUAAACAACUUAAACGCUGCCGUGGUUAAUGGCAUGUGCCCACUUGUCUGAACCACGGGCGCCGGAGGUCAGAUGGUAUUCUGGGUUUGUCUGGGAGGGGACUUUUGGGUCAGAGGAACGUUUGGAUCAGUCGUUAAGUAAAGCAGAUCAGCCUAUCUAAUAUGGGUGGGCCUUGUGCAAUCAGUUGAAGGUCUGCUCUGAAUAAAAAGGGCUGAGUGAGAGGGAAGUCCUGCCACCUGCCUGCUUGAGCUGAGACACUGGCCUUCUCUGGUCUUUGAAUUUGAAUUGAACCCUCAGAUCUUCUUGGGUCUUGAGCCCACAGGCUGAGCACGGGCCCUCAGCUCUCCUGAUUUUCAUGUGCCCACUUGGACCAGAGCCAGCGCAUCACCGACUCUGCUGAGUCUCCAGAUUACUGACUGACGCUCUUGGGGCUUCUCAACCUCCACCUUCUCAGGAGCCUCCGCAAUCUACAUAAAUACAUAUAUACAGGCAUCUGUCUGUAUUUCUGUUUCUUUGGUGAACGCUUACUGAUGCAGACCCCCAGGAUAGACUCUGGAUAUGCUUCAGGUAUGGCUGUAUCCAGGAGCUGAAACAACAUCACGAGGUUCUGUCAUCUCUUGUCAGGUUUUGGAUAAGAUUUCUUCACAGGGUUCAUGUGGUAGAUAACACUGGCAAUCCUGGCUCCUGACCUAAACUCACACUCUAAGAAGCAAAAACGAUAUCCCUUUAUCCAUCUCACUGGUCUCAGUAGGGUCACAAUCACUGUGGCCCAGGGGCCAUGCUACAAUGGCAGGGAGUGACAAGACCUGUGAAGGAAGGGGGAGGAGUCCUGUGAAGCCAAGCUGAGAAGGCCACACGUGCAGGUCAGGGAGCCCUGUCACUCUGCCCAGCUGAGUGGUGAGUCAGAGCAUGGGCCACAUACAAGGCUCAGAGCCAGUGUGCCUGCCAGCUCUCCGAUACUGUAACAAAACGCCUGAGACAAUUAACUUAAAAUUAGGAAAGGUUUACUUUGGCUUAUGGUUUUGGAGGUUGGCCACCUGGCCUCUGGGCUGUGGGAGGCAGCCUCUCAUGGCACAGGGACAGGUAGAGGAAGCCAUUCACCUCAGGGCAUCUGGGGAGCAGAGAGAGAAGCAGGAAGGGCCAAGGCCCAAGUUCCCCUCAAGGGCAUUCGCCAGUGACCUAACACCCUUCCACUCAGAUCCACCUCAUUUUGUCUUCUUUGUGUUUUUUAUUUGUGGGUGUCUGUUUUAUAUGGUUUGUUUGUGUGUGUCAUUCGUUUCUUUGUGUUCUUGUUGUUGUUUUGUUUGGGGUACUGAAGAUAGACCCCAGGGGUGUUUUAUAAAUGAGCUACAUCCCCAGGUCCGUUUGAUCUGAUUUUGUUUUACUUUUGAGACAGGGUUUUGCUAAGUUGCUGAGGCUGGCCUCAAACUCGCAAUCCUCCUGCCUCAGCCUCCCGAGUUGCUAGGAUUACAGGCAUCGGUCACCAUGCCCAACUGAGGCCUCACCUUUUAAAGGCUCCACCGACUUCCAAAAGUGCCACUAGCUGGGGCCCAGCUGUCAACCUAUGGCCCCUUGGGGACAUUGCAGACCCAAACUUUAGUGGCUAGUGAGCAUCCCGGUCUGGAUUCAAGCCAAGUGUGUCCCUGGGCCGUCAGCUUUGGCUCUCUGUUUCCUCUCACUCCUAGUCACAAACCCGUCUUCCGACACCCUGGGCCCUGGUCUGCACACGCAGGGCCUUCAGCGCCCACCCUGGCCCCAGGACAUAGUAGGGCUGCGGCCAGAGGCAGCCCCCAGCACCCGGCUCCCGGCAGCUCUUUUUAACACCCCACAGGGUCCUCUUUGGAUCCCUCCUCCUGCCUCAGACCCAAGUGGCAGCUGAGUUCUCCGGGGAGCUGGCGCCGGUCCCCGCACAGCUGUCCCCGUCCUCUGAUGCAUUUUCAUUCCCUUUGAGAACUGCCCAGUGGGGGCAGCUCAGGAACAGAUGUUCCCUAACAACUGCAGUUUACAGGGUAUUUUUGGUAAAUUGUCGGGAGUUUGCUGCAUCCUCAAGGAGAAGAAAAGCAAACGGCUCCUGUGAAGACUGGCGCGUUGUAAUGGCCUUGGCAGCUGCAGGGUGACCGUCCUCCUGCUGUGUUGCCGCAUAUGAAGUGGCCCCAGAAUGUGGCAACGUGAAACAAUGCACCCUUCUUUCCACAGGGCUCCUGGGGAUCAGCAAUGCAGGCGCAGCUCAGGGCCAGGCGGUUUUGACCCUGGGUCUCUGGCGAAGCUGUGGUAUUAUCCGAAGGCUCGGCUGGGGCUGGAGGAGCUACCUCCAGGGUGGCACCCUUGCAGCUGCUGCAGGAGACUGAGGUCCUCAUGUGAUGUCUCCGUGGGGCCCCUUGAGUGUCCUCACAACAUGGCGGCCACACCCCCAGAGCAGGAGCACAAGGAGGAGCCACAGGCCUUUUAUGACCCAGACUUGGAAGCUACACUCCAUCACCUGCCCCUGUUCCAUGCACUAAAAGGGAGAGAGCGAGUCCAGUUCACAGGCAAGGGAAGAAGAGGCGGGCUCCAGCUAAGGAAUCAGGGGUGCGCACACCCUAACCCAGACAGAGAGACCCUAACCCAGAGCAGAUGGCAGGACGCACCCUGACUCCCAUCCUUUGCCCUUCCUGUGCGGUCGCCCUGUUGAAGGGGUGGGGACGGCUCCCCACGUUGGACUUGGUCCUGUGACUUGCUCAGAUCCAUAGACAGAGGCAGGAGCCAAUCUGGAGUCUGAGCCGUGAGAGGCUCUGUGGGUCCCCUCCUGCCUUCUCUCUCUGCCUGGGGUGAGAGAGGCCCCCUCCAGGCCAGCCCCUCCAGGGCAGGAGAGGAGACAUGGGAGGGACUUGGUGACAAGGGCUGGAUUCAACAGAAACCGCAUGGAGGAAAUCCAGGAGGUCCUGUGAGGAAGUCGCACACCUGGGUUUGGCCACCGUCCGUGGGGGCAGCCCUGGCAGACUUUCAGAUGCGCCUACCCACUGCCAAUCAGCACCCUCAUGGGGACAGCGCCGGCAUUUGGUUUUAGGAAGUCCCUGCGGUUCUGACCAUCCGCUCUGGGCCGGUUCCCCCUGCUCAGAGCCCACCCAGAGCCCCUGCGCCCCUGCCAACACCAGGAGCCACGGCAAGGAUGGGCCCAGGAAGGGCGGUUGGGGUCCCUAUUUUGAAAGCCGAGAUCUGGGUCUCCUAAGGUGCCUCCUGGCCUCCCGCAAGCCCAGCCCCAGAGAGGCCGAGAGGGGCACGGGACCCAGAGGGCACAGGUGAGGGAGGGCGCCCAGGGGCGGAGGGGUGGGGAGCCAGGACACAGGGCAGCCAGAGCCGCGAU
rnacentral:lncRNA from 1 species